rnacentral:rRNA from 1 species
GACGUAGGGCGCGAGCGUUGUCCGGAUUUAUUGGGCGUAAAGAGCUCGUAGGCGGUUUGUCGCGUCUGCUGUGAAAUCCCGAGGCUCAACCUCGGGCCUGCAGUGGGUACGGGCAGACUAGAGUGCGGUAGGGGAGACUGGAAUUCCUGGUGUAGCGGUGAAAUGCGCAGAUAUCAGGAGGAACACCGGUGGCGAAGGCGGGUCUCUGGGCAGUAACUGACGCUGAGGAGCGAAAGCGUGGGGAGCGAACAGG